UAGGGAAUCUUCGGCAAUGGACGAAAGUCUGACCGAGCAACGCCGCGUGAGUGAAGAAGGUUUUCGGAUCGUAAAACUCUGUUGUUAGAGAAGAACAAGGACGUUAGUAACUGAACGUCCCCUGACGGUAUCUAACCAGAAAGCCACGGCUAACUACGUGCCAGCAGCCGCGGUAAUACGUAGGUGGCAAGCGUUGUCCGGAUUUAUUGGGCGUAAAGCGAGCGCAGGCGGUUUCUUAAGUCUGAUGUGAAAGCCCCCGGCUCAACCGGGGAGGGUCAUUGGACACUGGGAGACUUGAGUGCAGAAGAGGAGAGUGGAAUUCCAUGUGUAGCGGUGAAAUGCGUAGAGAUAUGGAGGAACACCAGUGGCGAAGGCGGCUCUCUGGUCUGUAACUGACGCUGAGGCUCGAAAGCGUGGGGAGCAAACAGG
rnacentral:rRNA from 1 species